GUAAAUAUAAUUUAACAAAAAUACUAGAUUGUGAUUCUAGAAAUGAAGGCUGACACCCUUCUAUUCACC
rnacentral:tRNA from 1 species